rnacentral:rRNA from 1 species
UACGGGGGGGGUAAGCGUUGUUCGGAAUUACUGGGCGUAAAGGGCGCGUAGGUGGCCAACUAAGUCAGACGUGAAAUCCCUCGGCUUAACCGGGGAACUGCGUCUGAUACUGGAUGGCUUGAGUUUGGGAGAGGGACGCGGAAUUCCAGGUGUAGCGGUGAAAUGCGUAGAUAUCUGGAGGAACACCGGUGGCGAAGGCGGCGUCCUGGACCAAUACUGACACUGAAACGCGAAAGCCAGGGGAGCAAACGGG